UAUGCACUUGGUAUGCCUUUACCAUGUAAAACUUUGAAGUUUACCUGUUUGGUUUCAUUACAUUGUUGAAAGUAGCUAACACUCUUAAAUUGAAAUUCCAAUCAAACAUUUCCAUAACUCCCAAACCCCUCCCAAGGAUCCACAAGGCAGAGACUAUUAUCCCCUGAGUUAAGUGAACAUAAAAAUUCCUUGAGUUCCAACAUUCUGCAUCCCCAUCAGUUUCCGGGUACAGAAUAAGUUGGCUUGAUUUUAUUUUCUAGUUAUAGAUAUUUAUGCCUGACCUCUUUCCAUUUAUUCCCUGGCUGUUUUAUUUAUUCUGCAGUUUUUCCUAAUGGUAGCCCCUCAUCCCUACAGCUGGCUACUGUGUUGGGAUCCUGCUGGCAUCUGUCUUGGGCAUUUUCUCCAAAUCAGUGGAGCUGAGGUGCAUUUGGUCAUCUGCACCUCUGUGUGGCUGGAGAGGCCCUUCAGAGAGAUGCAAGGACAGGAGUUGUGCUGCGUCCAUGGAGACUGA
rnacentral:lncRNA from 1 species